UACAGAGGUCUCAAGCGUUGUUCGGAUUCAUUGGGCGUAAAGGGUGUGUAGGUGGCGCCGUAAGUCGGGUGUGAAAUUUCGGAGCUUAACUCCGAAACUGCAUUCGAUACUGCGGUGCUUGAGGACUGGAGAGGAGACUGGAAUUCAUGGUGUAGCGGUGAAAUGCGUAGAUAUCAGGAGGAACACCCGUGGCGAAGGCGGCUCUCUGGCCUGCAACUGACGCUGAGGCGCGAAAGCGUGGGGAGCGAACAGG
rnacentral:rRNA from 1 species